rnacentral:rRNA from 1 species
AGAUAAUAUCUCCGGAUCAAAGGUGAGAUUCCGCCUGGGGACGGGACGUGCGUCCUAUUAGCUAGUUGGUGAGGUAACGGCUCACCAAGGCGACGAUGGGUAGCGGGCGUGAGAGCGUGACCCGCAUCACUGGGACUGAGACACUGCCCAGACACCUACGGGUGGCUGCAGUCGAGAAUCUUCGGCAAUGGACGAAAGUCUGACCGAGCGACGCCGCGUGCGGGAUGAAGGCCUUCGGGUUUUAAUCCGCUGUCAAGUUGGAGGAAGUGCAUAGGGGCAAUCCCUUAUGUUUGACCAAUAGCAAAAGGAAGGACGGGCUAAGUUCGUGC